UACAGAGGGUGCGAGCGUUAAUCGGAAUUACUGGGCGUAAAGCGCGCGUAGGCGGCUUUGCAAGUCGGGUGUGAAAUCCCCAGGCUUAACCUGGGAACUGCAUUCGAGACUGCAUUGCUAGAGUAUGGGAGAGGGAAGUGGAAUUUCCGGUGUAGCGGUGAAAUGCGUAGAUAUCGGAAGGAACAUCAGUGGCGAAAGCGGGUCUCUGGGCAGUAACUGACGCUGAGGAGCGAAAGCGUGGGGAGCGAACAGG
rnacentral:rRNA from 1 species